rnacentral:rRNA from 1 species
UCAGGAUGAACGCUGGCGGCGUGCCUAACACAUGCAAGUCGAACGAAGCAUGCGGACCGGAGAUCGUCGAAGGACCGUAUGACUUAGUGGCGGACGGGUGAGUAAUGUAUGAGCAACCUGCCUUUCAGAGGGGGACAACAGUUGGAAACGACUGCUAAUACCGCGUAAUGUAUCGUGAGGGCAUCCUCGUGAUACCAAAGGAGCAAUCCGCUGAAAGAUGGGCUCAUAUCUGAUUAGCUUGUUGGCGGGGUAACGGCCCACCAAGGCGACGAUCAGUAGCCGGACUGAGAGGUUGAACGGCCACAUUGGGACUGAGAUACGGCCCAGACUCCUACGGGAGGCAGCAGUGGGGAAUAUUGGGCAAUGGGCGAAAGCCUCGACCCAGCAACGCCGCGUGAAGGAAGAAGGUCUUCGGAUUGUAAACUUCUUUUAUGAGGGACGAAGGACGUGACGGUACCUCAUGAAUAAGCCACGGCUAACUACGUGCCAGCAGCCGC